rnacentral:rRNA from 1 species
UACGUAGGGGGCGAGCGUUGUCCGGAUUUAUUGGGCGUAAAGAGCGUGUAGGCGGCUUGGCAAGUCCGCUGUGAAAACUCGAGGCUCAACCUCGAGACGUCGGUGGAAACUGCCUGGCUAGAGUCCGGAAGAGGAGUGUGGAAUUCCUGGUGUAGCGGUGAAAUGCGCAGAUAUCAGGAAGAACACCUAUGGCGAAGGCAGCACUCUGGGACGGUACUGACGCUGAGACGCGAAAGCGUGGGGAGCGAACAGG